CCCGGGUUUUAACAUGAGAUCAAGCCGCCGAUCCCGCCGCGACCUGCGAGUGGGUGGGGGAUUGUUGCGCCGCGGCGUUGAGUCCGGGGAUGAUUAAUUCGCUCAGCUGAGGAGGGAGGCUGGAACCAGUCCACUGGAAGAAGACCCCGGCAUCUAUGUCAGAGAUUAGUAAUACUGCGAGACAAACACAACCAGUAUCCAGGAGAAAACAUCUUAAAAUGACAAGGAACUACUGUAUUUAAUGCCCGGAUCGUGGACCUGGCUGAGGAAGGAGGCUGGAACCAGUCCACUGGAAGAAGACCCCGGCAUCUAUGUCAGAGAUUAGUAAUACUGCGAGACAAACACAACCAGUAUCCAGGAGAAAACAUCUUAAAAUGACAAGGAACUACCUUAUUUAAUGCCCGGAUCAUGCAACUGGGGUCCAGAUAGACCAUGGAAGUGAAGGCCUGGAUGCUGCCGCAGCUCCUCAGGAGCCGCUGAUGAUUUUAGCCUCUGACAUCUCUCUUGUCUUCACUCUUGUACAGUGACGGAGUCAGAAUAAUUGAAAGUAAUAUUUCAUUUUUCAGCGCACUUCCACUCGCUAAUUACAAAAGGUCAGGCUUUCCUCUCAUCCGAGAAAAGGUCUGAAGCGCAAGUGGUAUUUGCGUCCAUAUUUAGUCCUGUUCCAGCCUCACUGGAGGCUGAGUCUUGAUCUAGAUGGUCUCAGUGAAGAUGUUCCGUGGCUUGUUUGACAGGAGAGUGUCGCCUGACUUCCCUUCAGGACAAAGCUUCACCGCUUCAUCUCGGCCCGAAACGUACGUCCCGA